CUAGAGGCUUCCAGGCUCCUGUUUCCUUUCACUGGCUCUGGUACGGGGGUGCAGGUUGUGUGUGUGUGUGUAAUGGGGCCAGGAGAGAACGCAGGCAUCCGGGCUCCCAGCCCCCACUCUCCUCCCAGAGUUGCAGAGCACCCAGGCGGCCGGGCGUGUGCUCUAACCACUGGCCCUCCCAGCUGCCACCUCAGGGGUGUGGCCUAUUGCAGCCUUUCCUGCCCCGAGUCACAGUGCAGGGUGCACAGUGCUGGGCGCAGCUGGGAGGGGUCCUCUGCCUGGAACCCCCCUGCCUGGUGGAGCCAGCGCCUGGACUGGGACAGGAGCCUGAGACCCAGGACAGCUGGAACCCUGUUCACUUCAGCUGCCCCUGCCCUGAUGGCCUCCUGGCACUGGAACUACGUGGCCAUGGUCCUGCUGACCCCCCUCGGCCUGCUGGGAGGUGCUGACCUUAAGGACUGGGUUGUGGCCCUCCCAAAAGACCCCAUGGAUGUGCAGGAGGGCUCCUGCGUGACCCUCGAGUGCAGCUACAACAUCCCUCUGGGGAAGGACAUUGGAGCUGUGUGCUGGAAGCAGAAUAGAGUCAUUAUUGCUUAUCACUCAGACAAGGCUUAUGUUGAUGCGGCCUUCAAAAACCGGACCUGGUCCUUCAGCAAACACCCGGGCAACUGCUCUCUGCAGCUCAUGGGGCUGCGCCUAGGGGAUCAGGGUACCUACCAGGUCUGCACUGGGAAAGGGAAUGAAGAGUGGUGCAGCCCUGGGGCCGUGCAGCUCCGUGUGACUGCCCACCCAUGCCGUCCUAGCCUGAAGACACCACGGGGACAGGGGUCCCUCUCCUGCUCCGUGCAGCCUGACUGCCAGGGAUCCCCUGUCUGGGACAAACGGGAUGACCAGAGGAUCCCGGCUGGGAUGGGGAACAGCUCGCUGCAGGUGUCCCCAUCCCAGCUGGGUCCUAACAUGAUGCUGAGCUGCCGGGUGGAUGGACACAGAGACCAGUGCAGCCCUGAACAGAACCAGCCCCUACAACUAGGGAAUCUGCACUUGAAGAUCUUUCUCCCGGGGGCAAAGCAAGUGGUGAAGGAACAUGACUAUGUCACCAUGCGCUGCUUGGAUGCCACCCGGAUCCCCGUGGCCAGGUACUUCUGGACGCAUGGGGACAAGUGGCUGCAGGAAAGAGGGCAGAAUUUGCACAUCAGCGACACCAGCACUGCUCAUGGAGGUGUCUACACUUGCAGCAUCUGGGUCUCCGGCCCCGGGUGGGCGUUCCUGGUCUCCUCUGGCAACAAAUCCAUCACGGUUCAUUAUGCCCCUAAGGGGGUUAACAUCACGCCUCCGUCCCCAUCCAAGCUGAGUGAAGGGGAGUAUCUGAUCUUAACCUGCCAUUUCAACAGCAGCCUCCCCGAGGCGGUCACCUACAACUGGUACAAGGACAGCAUGGAGUGGAAGGGGUCCCAGAAGAUACUGAAGGUUGGAGCAAAGGAUGCUGGGAUAUAUCACUGUGUGGUGCAGAACGAGGUGGGGCCCACAGAGUCUUCCAGAAUCACCAUUCGGGCCUCCUCCCAAGGGCUGGUUUCCGCUUUGGCCGCCGGCAUCAGCGGUGCCGUGUUCCUGCUGCUUCUGCUGGGGCUGGGGCUGGCUCUGGCCUGCAGGAAGAAAUGGGGGAGAAAGCAAAGCAAGGCCACCAUGGCAGGACGCUACAGCCCAGCCCAGGUGGACGCCCCGAUGUCAGAGCUGACGUACAAGAACAUAGAGCAGUACGAGCCAGUUGAUGCGGGUCCCCAGGAUGCCCCUGAGCUGGGCAAGGAGCAGCUGGACAUGGAUACCCCCCCGAAUCUUCCACAGCGCAGAUGGGGAGAGCCACAGGGAACAGCAAGGCAGCCACCAUCUACAGCCAGCCCAUGAAGACAGCCCCCAAGGUGAGCAGCUCGCUGACCAACCCUGACAACGUCCAAUACUCCACUGUCAAGAUCCAACCAGCCCCGCAGAGCCGCGCACCUGCCUUAGGCCUUACCUGCGACUGUGCCAACAUCAAGCACUACGCGUCAGCCGUGGGCAACCCCAUCACCCGUAGCCUGGCACCAGUCUCAGGAGUGGGGACUGGGGGUCACGGCCUGGGAUCAGUGAUGGGAGAGAAGAUCAGUGGAGCUUUAUGGGUGGAAGGGGCUAUGUUGGCUGGAAAUAGGCCCAGGUGAGGGAGAUUCCCUGCUCUCCAUCAUUGCUGACCUCGUGAAGGAACACCUUAAGAGGCUGGACACCUUCAAGUCAGCUGGCCCUGAUAGCCUACACCCCAGGGUACACAAGCAGCUGGCGCGCAUCAUAGCCCAGUCCCUGGCACAGAUCUUUGAGAACUUCUGGCACUCUGGUGAAGUGCCCGAAGAUUGGAAGAAGGUCAGUGUGGUGCCUAUCUUCACGAAAGGGAGGAAAGUGGAUCUGGCAAACUACAGGCUCAGCAGCUUGACCUCUAUCCUGAGGAAGGUCUUAGAAACGAUUAUUAAAGAGGCCAUUCUUAACUGACUGGCCGUCGGCAAUGUGGCAGAAGGCCACCUCUUGUUUCUCCCCAAAAACUCUGCUCUGUGACAGUUUGUUAACAUGGGCCCUGCAGAGGGUACACACCUUACCCUAUGUAACCUAAGCUGGAUACAUUCCUGACGGAGGGGGGAACCUGCUCCCUCUGCCCACGUGACUGGCAUCACAUGCCUAGGUGAGGGGCUUGGGUUCCCUGGGGAGCUAGGAACUGCCAGUCUGCCCAGAAACUAGUGAUGCAUUUCAAAUUGGUUGGCUGACAGCCAACAGGUGUUGGCCUCCAUUGGACCAGGUAAAUGAGGUCACAAGGGCUAUAUAAGUUAAGGACUGCCCAGGAGGAGGAGGGGGCAGCAGCCAUGAGGAAGACUCAGAGACAGAGAAGAGCUGGACCACCUGAAACUUGCUCUCUCUCUCUCUCUCUCUCUCUCUCAAAACUCAUGAUCAAGGAACUGCCUGCCUCCAGGGGGAAUCUCCACCUGCCUCUGCAUGAUCCUUGUGACCUAUCACCUGGACAAGGGAGAAGAGAUUGAUGUCAUAUAUCUUGACUUCAAAAAGCCUUCGAUCUGGUAUCCCAUGAUCACCUCUUGGCGAAACUGGACAACUGCGGCUUUGGGUCCACCACGAUCCGCUGGCUGGGGAAUUGGCUCCAUGGUUGGACCCAGAGGGUGGGGAGUGAUGGAAGUCAAUCAUCGUGGUGCCCUGUGACCAGUGGGGCUCCCCAAGGCUCUGUCCGUCCCCUGUAGCAGAAAGCCCCCUUUUCCUCUCACCUGUAGUUGCUCUCCCUUCUUUGGAUAUCUUUCUCUUCUACCUUUUCUUCCUUCCUCUUUCUUUCAGUAUAAGAUAAGGAAUUGUGUUUUAAAGUUUGUAUGUGUGUAUUUUGUAUCUCCCCUUGUAUUUUGAUAUUUUUAUCUAUUUGUGUGCCAUGCCAUUGCUCUUGUAGCUUAUAUUUUAUACUCCUCACCUUUUAACUAAAUGUGUUUAGUUUCAGAAAUAAGUUAUACAUUGUAACAAUGUUAACAAGAGCAGGAAUCAAACUGCGGUUUCCCUGUAUCAGGCGGGCCCCUGAAAGAGCGAGUGAAUCAGUGAUUGAAUGUGUAACACUGUAGCAGGCGGAAAUUAAAACCUAGGAAAACCGCAGAUCAAUCAAGGGAAGAAAUCAAUAGGAGACAAUGUAACAGCCGGGAAUUCUCUAAACUUUACUGUUCAAGGGCUAGAAACCCUGGUCUGAGUUAAUCAACGCCGGGGACCAACUUUUGGGGCUGAAUAUCUCCAGAUCGACUGCUCCCAGAGCCCUAUUCAAAAUUCAUCAACGGACUCCCAAACCUGCACGUACAUGCGGACGACCCCUGGGGCUGACAGAUGCCAUCCAGUAGCCACCGAGGGGGAAGUCCCACGAGGGUCAAUGACCCCUGGAUUGGGCAAACCUGAAAACUGGGGAGUCACCAAAGUCUGGCAAGGACAGAUAAAAAGCAGUGCAAAGUGACCCUCAGCAGCGCCCUCUUGAUCUCCAACUUGACCAGCACCCGACCUGUCCAGCCAGAAGGACCAGCCAGCGACCCCCUUCUGGAGGAUAACACCACGCUGGAAGAAGCCUCAACUGGCCAUCGACGGUAGACUCCAGCGCCUAUGAGAUAGGUAUACCCGACUCUUGUAACUCGCUACUGCGUGUGUGUGUGUGUGUGUGUGUGUGGGGGGGGGGGGGGACCAGCCCCAAGGCUUAUGAUUUGACUUCAUUACAGUGUUUCAAUCUGCCUAAUAAACCAGAAUUUUAAGGACUCCCAGUUGGACAUUUGCAGCCAACAGACCUAUAUUGUUCGACAUCUUAAUGAUGUGGACAUUGGAGUCCGAAGUGGACUGGCCAAGUUUGCUGAUGAUACCAAACUCUGGGGUAAAGCAUCCGCACCUGAGGAAGGAGGGUGAUCCAGGCUGACCUCGACAGGCUCAAGAAAUGGGCGGACGAGAACCUGAUGGUGUUUAACACUGAAAAAAUGCAAGGUUCUCCACCUUGGGAGGAAAAACCUGCAGCAUCCUUAUAGGCUCGGCAGUGCUAUGCUGGCUAGCGCUACAGAUGAAAGGGACUUGGGGCUCACAAGAUGAACAUGAGCCUUCAAUGUGAUGCUGCGGCUAGUUAAAUGACGAAAAUGCUGGCUUGCAUCCAUAGAUGCUUCUCAAGCAAAUCCUGGGAUGUCAUUCUCCCAUUGUACUCGGCCUUGGUGAGGCUGCAGCUGGAGUACUGCGUCCAGUUUUGGGCUUCACAAUUCAAAAAGGAUGUGGAGAAGCUUGAAAGAGUCCAGAGGAGAGCCACGCGCAUGAUCAGAGGUCAGGAAAACUGAUCUUAUGAUUACAGGCUGAGAGCCAUGGGGCUUUUUAGCCUGGAAAAGUGCAGGCUCAGGGGCGAUCUGAUGGCCACCUAUAAGUUUAUCAGGGGUGCGCGCCAGGAUCUGGGGGAACAAUUGUUCACCAGAGUGCCCCAAGGGAUGACAAGGUUGAAUGGUUAUAAACUACUGCAAGACCGUUUCAGGCUGGACAUAAGGAAGAAUUUCUUUACUGUCCGAGCCCCCAAGGUCUGAAAUAGCCUGCCAUUGGAGGUGGUACAAACACCUACAUUGAACACCUUCAAGAGAAAUUUGGAUGCCUAUUUUGCUGGGAUCCUAUGACCCCAGCUGACUUCCUGCCCCUGGGGCAGGGAGCUGGACUCAAUGAUCUUCUGAGGUCCCUUCCAGCCCUAAUGUCUAUGAAAUUUUCUCCCCAUUUUCUGAGUCCCAUGGUCCCUAGGGCAUUGAAUCAUGCUAAUUAGGCUCUGUUAUGAAUUGAUUGCCUUAGACCUGGCUUCUCAGGACAGCUAAGUACAAUGUAAACCUCUUUUAACAAGGUGUGGAUAAUGGUGUGCAAUGUAAGAAGCUUUAACAAGGCCUGAGUGGCAGUCUGGAGUAGUGCAAGUUAUUAAUGAGGUUUGGACAGCUAUGCAGUUUUGAAUGAGGUAUGGACUGAAUGUUGGCACAAAAUGUAAUAAGCUUUAAUGAGGCAUGGAAGGUGGGACAAAAUACUUGUGUGCUUUUAAGGAGAUGUGCCUAAACAGAAGCAAGUGUUUUUUAAUGAGGUGGGGGUGGUCACACAGACUGUAACAAGCUUUAACAAGGCAGGGAUGGUGGGGCCAAAUGUUGUAAUGCUUUUAAGAAAGUGUGGGCUAUUGAUCAUUAACUAGAUAUAAUGUGCUAUGUAAUAAGCCUUACCAAGGCUUGGGGAGCAGAACAUAAUGUAACAAGCCUUAAUGAGGUGUGGACAGCUAUUUCCCCACCCUUUGUUUGAAAUUUCCAAAUGGAAAUCCAUGGCGUUUCCUAUUUGCAUAAUUGACCUACCUACCCAUCUUCCCUACAGGCCUCUUCAGUGGCUGAGAUUUUAGGCAUUGUAAUAAUAAUGAGUAAUGUGUAUUUUACCCUAACUUGUAUCUGCCUUGGGUGGGCAUCUUUCUGGGGUGAUUUUAGAGCAGAGGUUUAGAACAGGGGGAACAGAUGCCCCUUUCCAAGCCCACUGUUGUUCUUCCCCGUGUGAUUCCUUUUUGCUUUCAACUAAAGCCCCAUCCUAUGCAGAAAGAGAGAGAAGAAAGAGAAGGAGAAAUCAGUGUCUUUGCUGCCUGACACUAUGGAUGAUUUGUGUGGUGGAUAACACAGAGGAUGCCUGAGCACUGUCAGAAGAGAAACAAGUUCUGGGUCAUAACCAUGGGCUCAGGGCAUGAAGGCUAGAGACAAGGCAAUGCCUGCAGCCCCAGUCUCCAGCUAGUUUGAGCAGAUGUUUUUCAGGCAACCCCUCUAGAACAGAGCUGGCAGAUUCUUCUGCCCCCCAGGACACACAUGGACCGUGGGGCUCCUUGUGGGCUGGAUACGCACCUGGGAACACAGCCGUCUGGGGACAAACACAGGCACAUAUCAUCUGUGGGGCUCUACCCUAGAUUUUAGUGGCACGCGUCACCCCCACUCACCCCAGCUUCUCUAGGAGCCCUGGCGGGUGGGUACAAGUGUAUCCAUGGGCUGUAUGUUUGACACCCCUACUCUAGGACUUUGUGUGUAGCACGUACUCACAGGAUGGGUGGAUCAAUGAACCGGUCGCUAUCCAAGGCUGCAGGUAGAAAUACCUUGAAGCAGACGACAGAGAGAAGGGGUUGAUUGGUAAAAUAUCAUUUCUUUCCUUCAGAGUACAAAAUCGGCUGGAUGAAAGGCAUUAUAUGCUCGGGCAUCUCACCAAACACUGGCCUGUGCCGAGACUGAUGUGAGCCUGGGAUUAAAACCGUUCUCCUGA